ensembl:lncRNA
AUUUGUUUCAUUUAUGAACGCAGUAAGAUUUAUCUAUGAAUUAAGAGACAUUGAAAAAGCUGAUUUAUUCUGAUAAAGAUGUGAAGGUUUUUUGGUUUUGUGUGUGCAAAUAAUCCAUUAGUUUAAUAAAAUUUAAUUGAAAUUUCUCAUUAAUACACCAUUAUAACUUGAACACAUCUGUGCAAACAUAACUUUUUUAGUCUGUUCUGGUCGUAAUAAAAUACCAUACAUGGGGAGGUUCAAACUGCAGGCAUUUAUUUCUCACAUCUCUGAAGGCUGGGAUGUCUAAGAUCACGGUGCUGGCAGAUUCAGUUCUUGAUUUAUAGGAAUAUGGUGACAAGACCUAGAGUAGACAGCUACAAGACCAAAGGAUAUCACAUUCCCCCUGGGAUCUGGUCAGCACCAAGAAGUUUGCAACAACCAGCCACAUCCCCUACCCUUUCAGUAUAAAAGAAGCCUGAAUUCUAACUCAGGAGUGCUCUUGGGAGAAGAUGAGUGAGGGGAACCAGACAGGACAAGAGGAAUAAAGUUGAACAAGAAUUCGGGAGUGUUAUCUGGAGACUGUCCUCAGCCUAGUUCUCAGGGGAGCAUCGGAGCAUGACGGUACCACAGAACUGGCUCUCGUUUCAGCUCUUCAACCCUGUGUGUCUUCAGAUACCAUCCAGUGCUCCUGCCAAGGCCGCCAGUGACCUUCACAUUGAGAAAUCUGAUGGAUGUCUUUUCCUCUCAGCUGUGACCCUCUCAGCAGAUGUCACCUCUAGCCUUGAAAAUCUCUCCUGUGGCCUCAGUGACAGCUGCUCUCCGGGGUUCCCUUCUGCUUCCUAAACCUGUUCCUUUCGGACAUCCUCAUGGUUCUCCCUCUCAGAGCGUUUGUGUUCCCGAGUCCUGAGCUGGUCUCCUCUGUCUCUCUGCGUACCUCUCCUGGGACAGUUCCUGCACUUGUGUGGCUUUGGUUACCAUCUGCACUCAGAUUACUUCUAAACAGCUUUCCUGGGAAUUCCUACGUGGUCCAGUGGUUAAGACUCUGCGGCUCACUGCCAAGGCAAAGUUCAAUCGCUGGUCCCCACAGGCCAUGCGCUGUGGCUAAAUAAAUAAAUUAAAUGAACAGCUUUCCUUAGCUCAGCCACAGCUUCUGACUUGGAGAUCUGUGCAUCCCUUUGUGUACUCUUUGAGGCGCCUAAAUUCGCUAAAUCUGAACUAGAGUUCUCAGCUGUCUGACAAAACAUUCCUUCUCCAGCAUCUUCUGUCUCAGGGAGAGGUGCCAUCAUCCAUUCAAUCCCCAAGCUCAAAACCUUCUCUCUCACAUCCCCCACCUAACAUCCUCUGCAAUCUACCAGGUCCUACUGACUCUGUCUCUUGACUAUCUUGACUUAUUCAUUUCUCUUUGUUUCCUGGCUCCACCCUCAUCCAAGUUGCCAUUAUCUCUGGCUUGCAAUAGCCUCUGCACUGGUCUCCCCAGUCUCUACUUGUU